rnacentral:tRNA from 1 species
UCCCGCGUAGCCAAGUGGUAAGGCAACUGGCUGUUAACCAGUGCAUCGUUGGUUCGAAUCCAGCCGUGGGAGC